GAUGAACGCUAGCGGCAGGCCUAACACAUGCAAGUCGAGGGGUAGAACACUUCGGUGUUUGAGACCGGCGCACGGGUGCGUAACGCGUAUGCAAUCUACCUUGUACAGGGGAAUAGCCCAGAGAAAUUUGGAUUAAUGCCCCAUAGUAUAUAACCUUCGCAUGUUGGUUAUAUUAAAGUUCCAACGGUACAAGAUGAGCAUGCGUCCCAUUAGUUAGUUGGUAAGGUAACGGCUUACCAAGACGAUGAUGGGUAGGGGUCCUGAGAGGGAGAUCCCCCACACUGGUACUGAGACACGGACCAGACUCCUACGGGAGGCAGCAGUGAGGAAUAUUGGUCAAUGGGCGCAAGCCUGAACCAGCCAUGCCGCGUGCAGGAAGACGGUCCUAUGGAUUGUAAACUGCUUUUAUACAGGAAGAAACAACUCUACGUGUAGAGUCUUGACGGUACUGUAGGAAUAAGGAUCGGCUAACUCCGUGCCAGCAGCCGCGGUAAAAC
rnacentral:rRNA from 1 species